rnacentral:rRNA from 1 species
UACGAAGGGGGCUAGCGUUGCUCGGAAUCACUGGGCGUAAAGCGCACGUAGGCGGACUCUUAAGUCGGUGGUGAAAUCCUGGAGCUCAACUCCAGAACUGCCUUCGAUACUGGGAGUCUCGAGUCCGAGAGAGGUGAGUGGAACUGCGAGUGUAGAGGUGAAAUUCGUAGAUAUUCGGCAAGAACACCAGUGGCGAAGGCGGCUCACUGGCUCGGUACUGACGCUGAGGUGCGAAAGCGUGGGGAGCGAACAGG